CAGAAAGCCCGAAGCGGUACUCGAUCCCAGGACCCCGGGAUCAUGACCUGAGCAGAGGGCAGGGACCCAACCGACCGAGCCCCGCCGGCGUCCCGCGAGUGAAUCUCUUACUGCCGGGGAAGGUUGCAGUACAGAAUGUGCUCUCCUGAUCACGAGGGCCCCCGAGCUCUAGUCCUGCCACCUGCUGAAGGCCUCUGCCCCUCGACGAAGGAAGGAACACCCGCUGGGAGUGUUGGGACGGAUGCUGGUGUCCUGGAGGCAGUGUGACCUGAUCGGCAGGGCUUCAGACUGGAUUUAGAAGAAGAGGGAGACGGACGCCCAGACAGACCUGGGAAGCCAGUUGCUGUGGAGGGAAGAUCUACACGGGUUCGGUUCCAGUCUGCCAAAUCGAGAACGUCAUCGCCUUCUUGGGGGACAUGGGAACCCAUCAAGAUCUGAAUGCAGAAGCGGAGGGUGUAGGAACACAUCUGCAGAAGGCUGAAGGGCACCUUUUCCUGGGUGCUCCCACUCAGGUGGGUUUGUGGAGUGCCCCAUCUCAGAACUGCUGGUCUGUGCCUGAGGUCACACGCUAUAAAGACAGACAGACAAACAGCGCUCGGGUCAAGAAAUCCUCUUGACUUGUCAGAACUCGGAGGAAUGCAUCUCGCUGUCCCCUGGGUUUACGCUGUAUCUCAGAUAUUCACGAGAUGCAAAUUACGUGACCUGCCUGUUUGCACACGAGGUCUCUGCCAGGCUUCGGGGCAGAUCUGACACAAGCAUCCCAUAAUUACAGGAGAGCUCUGGGGACUGGCUCCAAUUAACCACGCUGCUUCUCGGUUAUCAUUAUAUUAUCCGUAUUUAUAGCAUUUGACAUUCUUGCAGCGCUCUUUAAUCCUACUGCAUGUGGGUUGCCUACAUCUAAAUCUUUCAACAUACUUGGGAUACCAGAUGUUCCUGUUCUCUGGCUCUUCCGGAUGGAGAAACAGAGCAUGGACCAGUGCUCUAAGGACAGCACCUGUGAGUUGCAUUCCCAGGUCACCUGGGCAACUUUGUGGAGGUUAAGCACUUGGAUCAAGGCAAAGGUCUGUUGGGCAAGGUUGUGUGGGCUAAUGGGACACUGAGACUCUAGCCUCAUGGCAGAAACUACUUUCUUAGCUCAAAGUUCUGAGGACUGGACUUGCCCAACCAGAGCACUGGAACAUCUGGAACCUGCAGUCAUGGCACCCACCAGCACAUCAAGCCAAGAGCAGUCCCAAGGCUUCCCCUCUCCUUUAGGCUGAGCUAGCUCUGGUGUCUUUGGUCCUUCGUCUCCUGGGUCUAAGAGCUCUCCGGUUCGUCCUGCGCCUCCCACAUCUCCCGACUGGACAGUGGAGCUCGGGGCAGGGAAGGGAGGGUUGCUGCGACUGAAACAAGAAUGUAGGAUCCCCCCAUCCUACCCCCUGCGGAUCCCCCCCCCCCAAGACUGAGCACGGACCGUGACUGCAGAGAGUCGGACAGACCUGUGUUCAUGAACGGAUACGGUGACCACUCUGCCCGGCAGCAGCCCCACGGAGGUACUGGUGGGGUUCCAGCAGCUCUUGGAGUCAUGUGCAGUUCAACGGCGUGUGCAUACAAGAUGUUCUCCGCCCAGCUGUCCCCCGAAUCUAUGGCAGGAUCUGUAGGGAAGGGACACCCCCCACCCUUCCCUAUCCGCCUAGAGAGCACAACUGCCCGUCUCAAAUCUCCCGAGAUUUCCUUUUUCCAUUGCAACGCGUCCAUCGCAUCCCCAGGUCUGCCGAUCCGGCAAUUACUUGCAUGCGGGGCUGGAUCUGUUAGAAAUGUUUUCGGGCACGGACUAUGGAACCAACCUAAUGUUAAAUCAUGCCCUGUUUUUGUUUUUGUUUUUCCCCUUCUGGUGGACGUGAUGCCUAGGUUUUGCUUUUUUAAAUUAGAUGAGUAAUUUCAAAGAUGAAGAACCUGUCCCGAGAUGUCCUCGUGAAGCUCGGGGUUUGAUCAAGCUCGGCAGGCUGGUUCGGUCAACGUCAUGACUCAGCCAGGUUCCGUCUCGAGGACUGGCUUGCUGGAGCCUCAGCCGGGUCCUCACGGCUGCUCAGCCCGCGGUCACACACUGUCACACUCCAGGGCGAUGCUCCGGGCCUCAGCAAUCCGUGUCAGCCCUUCCAGCCUUGUCCCCUGCUUGUCCUCCAGGCAGAGAACCACGCGUGCGGCUCGAGAACCCGCUGGAGAACCCUCCAGCUUCCCCACUCGCCCCCUUCCAGUCUUCACCUUCCCGCUCUCAUUUACAUCCGACCUUGCGGGCGUCCUGGGGUCUCCGGUCAAAGCUGGUCCUCUCUUCGUGCUGUUGAUUCUCUCCUGUCCUGCCUCUCCUCUCGCUCUGUCAGCCUCCCCUCCGGUAUCUUCCGUGUUUCCUGUGUCCCACCUCCCUGCCUGCAGAAAGACCAAGUCUCCUCCGCCUCAGAAAAGAAGCCCCCUUCCCCCAAACACAAAACAGAGUGCUGCGUCUCUCUACCGCUCACCAUCGGUGGUUCGAAACCACAUCCGACCCCCGGGUGUGAGCGAGGCAGAGUUCCACCGGAAUUCAUGAUCACUCAGAACCUCAGAACGUGACCUGACUCGGAAAGAGAGCCUUGGAAGAAUUAAUUAGUUAAGAAUCUCCAGAUCUAAUCAUCACGGACUUAAGGUUAGGUCAACGGCGGCUCUGACUCUCGUACCUCCUGUCGUUUCUGUGGCAAUGGCCUUCCUCGUCCCUGUCCGACCCCUCCUUCCCGCUGCGGCUCCUGGAACACUUCUAAAACACAGGCUACUUCUCUGAUGGAAAGUCCCUGACGGCUGCCCACUGCCUGGCCCGGCCAUUCUCUAAUUCUUCCACAACUCCGCCCCAAUACGGAUGAUCUCGUUUUCUGUUAUACCUCUGAACCCCACCCGCGCGCCCCCAGAGCUGCUUCCCAACCUUUGUGCCGUUGUUGUCCCCCUCCCCAAAUCUUUUUAGACAUUUUUCCCUCUGAUUAUUGCACCCAGGAAACUUUAAUAGCACAAGCACACGUUUAUCAUGUUGUGGGCCCCUUUGGAAAGCCGCAAACCACUGGGAUGUCUAAAGUUGUUUUGUCCCCCAAAGCCAGUUUUCACAUCCUUGGAGGUGAGAUCCCUCCGUGUCCAGGACAGAGAAUGCAAGAGCAAGGGGCGAAUCCGAACCAGAGUCGGAUUUCUUCUCUGAGACGCCUGCCGUGUGCCUACUGAGAAGUUGUUCAAACCCCCGGUUCGGAGAUCCCCGCGCAGGCAGAGCGCCCUUCCUGGCGUCCACCUCACCCACCAUCUGUCCAUUCCCGUCUCCCUCCCCUUCACGGGCCGGUGCCAGGAGCACUGCCCGGUCCACCUCCUACAGGCUUAUCUCUGGCUCAGAGACGCAGUCUGCUUCCUGGGGACGCCGAGCAGACAAUGUCCCAUUUACUGCCUGGCACCGGGGUGGGGCUCCACGGGUGGGGAUUCUCUCCCCCGGAAUCUGGCCGGCGUCCUGCCUGCCAUUGUCACAGCCUGUCCCUACACGCUCUGGACCCUGUCUUUGGCUCCGGAGGGACUCUGUCUGCGGAGCCCUUCCCCGGGGUGGAGCGUGAGCACGCCCCGGGCGCCCCCAGCCUGUCCUGUUUGCCUGCACCAGCGCUUCCCCCACGCCUGCACGGACCGGGAACAGCAUGGGUGCUGAGUGAACAGACGCGUUCUGCCUGCCUCCCGGGAUGCCGCCCUGUGGUCGGAGGCCGGGCCCACCUUCCCAGGGCACAUUCCAGGUUACAGAACGGGCAUCGCCUCUGGGCUCCGAGUCCUGCCCCAGUGCUUUCUCUUCCGUCCCACCAAACCCGUGUAUCUGAGCAGCACCACGCUCGGGUUUGGUGAGAGGCCACGGCGGGGAAGGCUUUGAACGCUCAGACUUCGUACUUGGCUGGUGGCCAAUUACUUCCAAUGCUUCGGGAACAAGGCAGGGUCAGGAGUAAGACCGUGGCAUGGGAUUUAGCCAGGGGAGAGUCACGUGACCGGUGGCCUUGGAGGAAAGCGGGGGCCAGAGGCCGUGGCAGGGACUCCCUACCGAAACUGGAAUUUCCUGGGGGAGUUUCACCCACGAACUCCUGGGUCCUACUCCCAGAGAUUGUGAUUAUUGCUCUGGGGGGGUGCCCUGGGCUCUGGAAGUUUAAAGAAAUACUCAGAGUUUUAACGGGUCGUCAGGUCUGAGAACCACCGGGCCAUGGACGAAGUGGAGGUCGUGCGUGUGGACCGCUCUUUCCAAAAGCCUGGCGGUGAAGGGACACAGGCACAGAAGCCUGAGGGCCAGGAGGGUGCCGGGAAGGUGAGGGUUGGUUUGUUUGUUUGUUUACAAGGUGGGGAAACUUAGAAAUCUUUGUCGGCUAAAGGAAAGACUCGAGGGCAUGGUAGAGAUGAAACCUGAUAGUGUGAGAAGUUUCUAGAAUAAUCCUGGAGGGGACGGUCAGUGGCAGUAGUGGGGGGAUGUGUCUUUUGACGAGAAAAUACCUAUUCUUUGUACUGUAGUCUGCUUAGAAUGACCUCUCGUUCCUUCCAAGCCCAGCUCAGAGCAGCUGUCUACCGCCAACCCCACACGGGAGCGAAUUAUUCUGUAUUCUUGGAGCACUUUCUACAUUUCUCCUGUCAUGGUUAUCAUGAGGGUUAUAUAACAUCCGCAA